rnacentral:misc_RNA from 1 species
AACCACAAAAAACCAAUGGUGCAGUGGAAUGCACCAGCAAGCGAUGGCAGCUAUUGUUCUUGUAUUUCAUUACAAAUAAAAUCAUAAAAACAUAUCACAAAUAAAAAAAUUACGAAGCAAGCUUUUUAAAUUUGAUCCUUUUCAUUAUAACCUUUCUUUUUGGCCUUCACCGUUAAGAAAAAUGCGUUUUAAUUAAAAUUGGGAAAACUUCACAUUACACCCACACCAUUAUUUCUUACGGAUAUCCGAGUGUACGGGUUUUUAGGGCAUUUUUACGCAAAA